AUUGAACGCUGGCGGCAGGCCUAACACAUGCAAGUCGAGCGGAUGAAGGGAGCUUGCUCCUGGAUUCAGCGGCGGACGGGUGAGUAAUGCCUAGGAAUCUGCCUGGUAGUGGGGGAUAACGUCCGGAAACGGGCGCUAAUACCGCAUACGUCCUGAGGGAGAAAGUGGGGGAUCUUCGGACCUCACGCUAUCAGAUGAGCCUAGGUCGGAUUAGCUAGUUGGUGGGGUAAAGGCCUACCAAGGCGACGAUCCGUAACUGGUCUGAGAGGAUGAUCAGUCACACUGGAACUGAGACACGGUCCAGACUCCUACGGGAGGCAGCAGUGGGGAGUAUUGGACAAUGGGCGAAAGCCUGAUCCAGCCAUGCCGCGUGUGUGAAGAAGGUCUUCGGAUUGUAAUGCACUUUAAGUUGGGAGGAAGGGCAGUAAGUUAAUACCUUGCUGUUUUGACGUUACCAACAGAAUAAGCACCGGCUAACUUCGUG
rnacentral:rRNA from 1 species